rnacentral:rRNA from 1 species
GGGGAAUCUUGCGCAAUGGGCGAAAGCCUGACGCAGCGACGCCGCGUGAGUGAUGAAGGCCUUCGGGUUGUAAAGCUCUGUGGGGAGAGACGAAUAAGUGCAGCCUAAUACGCUGCAUGAUGACGGUAUCUCCUUAGCAAGCACCGGCUAACUCUGUGCCAGCAGCCGCGGUAAGACAGAGGGUGCAAACGUUGUUCGGAAUUACUGGGCGUAAAGCGAGUGUAGGCGGUUUCCUAAGUCAGGUGUGAAAGCCCCGGGCUCAACCCGGGAAGUGCACUUGAAACUGGGAGGCUAGAGUAUCGGAGAGGUUGGUGGAAUUCUCGGUGUAGAGGUGAAAUUCGUAGAUAUCGAGAGGAACACCGGUGGCGAAGGCGGCCAACUGGACGAAUACUGACGCUGAGACUCGAAAGCGUGGGGAGCAAAC